GUGUUGUUAUGUUGGUAAACCGUUAUGAGUGAAGAUCGUAGAGCAAUGUGUUCUCUAUGAAACGAUUUAAUAUUUUCAUAGCCAUUUUCAAAACGUCUAGUCAGAUGUACGACAACUCAGUUGCAUAGAUAUCCAUUUUUGUCAAGCAAAAUGGUUGUAUACCUAGAUCCUUGUGGCAUGAAAAAAUGAUGUCAAUGUUUAUUGAAUUUGAUGUUUAAGAAUUUCCAUUUCCACCCAUGAUGCAACAACAUGCCACUUUACAGUGCAUUGUCCGAUUUUUGUGACAAAUUGUCAUUUCUCAUUGAUUAGACAAAGAAAUAAUGGUAAACCUUAAAAAAAAAAUUCUUUUUGAGCUACACAUUUCUAAUCGUUCUUCCUAUUUGAAACUGGGUUGUAGGAGCUCCAGGGAUUGCAACUGUUGAUUUGUUUCAAAUAGCUUGGCUGAUCAGAUUUUGGUUCAACUUCUUUCUAAUUCAAGUUUUAACAGAGCCAUGAAAACACUUUCUGUUGCCAAAUUUGAUAGAUAUUUGUAUUCUCUUUCCUAGUGUUGGGCAAUGACUAACUAGCAACCGAGUAAUCUCAACCUGAGAUAGCACUUCAGUUUCGUUUUAUUGUUACAUAAUUUUCUUUAUUCAGAUUACUUUUUCACAGUUAAGUUUUGCUUAAUCUCCAAGAUAUUGAAGAGCCCGUAAAAUCAAAUUCUUUACUGCCACUUUUUUUUAGUGAAAAAUUAGAGAGAAUGCACCCACUAAGAAGGUUGUACUUGCAGUGACCGCUACUUGAGUUCUAAUUUAGGCUGAUCUAAGAUUGAUUGAUAUUAGGUUAGUCUCUUGAUGCUGUUCCACAUCGAUAUUUUGGACUUGAUAUCUUUUGGAAAGCAACAUUUUCUUAACAGUUUCCACAGGUUUUUUAGUCUAAUGUAGAGUAACUUUUCCCAAAAUGUUGUCUCUUGCUUGCAUGUACCUGCUGUGUACGGUUCGCGUUCGCCACGUGCAGAAAUACAGCAGUAAUAGUAAAAGUAGUCAUGUUUAACUUUUAACCCCAAGGCUGGUGAAGUCUUAGCUUCUUCAUUGCGUAGAGGUUGAGUGAGAACGGGAGGUGUUUCAUCAUUAUCAAGUAGAUACAAUAGCCACAAGCCAACCUGCAGAAGGAAAGGGGAGUUUGCAUGUCCAUCCUGCUCGAAGGUCAC